UACGGAGGGUUCGAGCGUUGUCCGGAAUCACUGGGCGUAAAGGGCGCGUAGGCGGCGCGGGAAGUCAUCGGUGAAAGUUCAGGGCUCAACUCUGAAUCGGCCGGUGAUACUCCCGUGCUCGAGCACUGUAGAGGCAGGUGGAAUUCCGGGUGUAGCGGUGGAAUGCGUAGAGAUCCGGAAGAACACCGGUGGCGAAGGCGGCCUGCUGGGCAGUAGUUGACGCUGAUGCGCGACAGCGUGGGGAGCAAACAGG
rnacentral:rRNA from 1 species